rnacentral:rRNA from 1 species
UCUAAUUCGAAGCAACGCGAAGAACCUUACCAGGUCUUGACAUCCUCUGACAACCCUAGAGAUAGGGCUUCUCCUUCGGGAGCAGAGUGACAGGUGGUGCAUGGUUGUCGUCAGCUCGUGUCGUGAGAUGUUGGGUUAAGUCCCGCAACGAGCGCAACCCUUGAUCUUAGUUGCCAUCAUUUAGUUGGGCACUCUAAGGUGACUGCCGGUGACAAACCGGAGGAAGGUGGGGAUGACGUCAAAUCAUCAUGCCCCUUAUGACCUGGGCUACACACGUGCUACAAUGGACGGUACAAAGAGCUGCAAGACCGCGAGGUGGAGCUAAUCUCAUAAAACCGUUCUCAGUUCGGAUUGUAGGCUGCAACUCGCCUACAUGAAGCUGGAAUCGCUAGUAAUCGCGGAUCAGCAUGCCG